rnacentral:rRNA from 1 species
UUCCAGACUCCUACGGGAGGCAGCAGUGGGGAAUAUUGCACAAUGGGGGAAACCCUGAUGCAGCGACGCCGCGUGAGCGAUGAAGUAUUUCGGUAUGUAAAGCUCUAUCAGCAGGGAAGAAGAUGACGGUACCUGACUAAGAAGCCCCGGCUAACUACGUGCCAGCAGCCGCGGUAAUACGUAGGGGGCAAGCGUUAUCCGGAUUUACUGGGUGUAAAGGGGGCGCAGACGGCGAUGCAAGCCAGGAGUGAAAGCCCGGGGCCCAACCCCAGGACUGCUCUUGGAACUGCGUGGCUGGAGUGCAGGAGGGGCAGGCGGAAUUCCUGGUGUAGCGGUGAAAUGCGUAGAUAUCAGGAGGAACACCGGUGGCGAAGGCGGCCUGCUGGACUGCAACUGACGUUGAGGCCCGAAAGCGUGGGGAGCAAACAGGAUUAGAUACCCGAGUA